rnacentral:rRNA from 1 species
ACGGAGGGUGCGAGCGUUAUUCGGAAUUACUGGGCGUAAAGCGCGCGCAGGCGGGCUAGUAAGUCAGUUGUGAAAUCCCGCGGCUUAACCGCGGAACUGCCUUUGAAACUGAUAUCCUUGAGUUUGGGAGAGGUAGGCGGAAUUUGCGGUGUAGAGGUGAAAUGCGUAGAUAUUGCACGGAACACCAAUGGCGAAGGCAGCCUUCUGGGCCGAUACUGACGCUGAGGCGCGAAAGCGUGGGGAUCAAACAG